CCGGAAGUCCCGCCUGUCGUGUAGUCACCGCCGCCGCCGCCGCUGUCGUUGUUGUUGUGGUUGGUGCUCUGAGCUCCGCGGCUCCGAGAGCCGGCUGCGUCCCUUCCCCGCCGCCGCCAUGAAGUGGAUGUUUAAGGAGGACCACUCGCUGGAACACAGAUGCGUGGAAUCCGCGAAGAUCCGAGCGAAAUAUCCCGACCGGGUUCCGGUGAUCGUGGAAAAAGUCUCAGGCUCUCAGAUUGUUGACAUUGACAAACGGAAGUAUCUGGUUCCAUCUGACAUCACUGUGGCUCAGUUCAUGUGGAUCAUCAGGAAAAGGAUCCAGCUUCCUUCUGAAAAGGCAAUCUUCCUGUUUGUGGAUAAGACAGUCCCACAGUCCAGGUGCGUAGCGCCUUGCCUGGCAUAUUGAUGGUGUUCAGAAGACAUGCCUGGUCCACCUGGAGCUGAGAGCUUACUUAACAAGUGCUAGUGCAAUCUUCAUUCUGCAAGCAGUGGCUGAAACACACCGCGCCACCUGGAGAGCAUGAGGCAGGUUUGUGCACCAGGGCACCAAUCCCAAAGGUGGUCUGAGGAUCUCCUUCAAGGAGAAUUUGGAAGAAGGGAGAAAAAAAGAUCCUGGUGGUUGACAUGUGGGAGGCAGAGCCAUGAGUUCCAUAGGAGGAUCUAUAUAUAGCUUUGCUUCCUUGCCUCCUUAGCAGCUGGAGACAGGCUGUUGCUUCCAGAUGUGGGAUGGAGAAGGUGCAUGCAGGCAAACUUACACAUGCCUGGUGUGCAGCAAGAGGCUCCACAAACAUUUGCCCACUAUGCUUCUCCUGAAGACAAUCUCAUGUUUAUUAGCAUAAGCUCUGGAAAUUGGGACUAGCAAAUUGAAGAGUCACUUAUGAGCUGAGUGACAGACCAAGCCCAGGCCCCAGAACUUUGAUCCAACCUCAACCUGAGCCAGCACCAGAAUGUAUAACCACCCCUUAACAGCCCCUCCUGAGAACUGACUGACAGCAAGAGAAGACAUUUCCUGUUCAACUGUCCCAUCACACCACCUGCUCAUCCCACUCCCCCAUUCCAGGUUCUGUUUAGUCUUGCACACCCCUCCGUAUAAAAGAAACCCCCUUUCCAUCUGCCCUUUGAGAGGCUUACAAAGCUUAUGACUGGAGUGUUCUUGCCACUGCAUUAGACCUCCUACUGUAACAGACCCCUUCUCUUACGCAAUAAUCCUUCUGAGUAAAGUCUCUCCUUACCUAAGUCCAGAUUUGUUUUUAACACAAGAAUGUAUGAAAACCCACCCAGUUCCAGCUUGAUUCAUUCUUCCAGACAAGAAACAAAAAGAAACUGACCACCAAAGACUGAAGGGCAUCAAUACUGACCACAGUAUGGAUGAUGGUGAUAACGGUGGCUAGCCUCUUCAUAUAGAAGUUUCUGGCUACUCUGCUGCUUCCCUACUGCUAUAUAAUAAAGAUUUUGGCUGGUCUUUGUUGCCAGUUCCUAAA